GACGAACGCUGGCGGCGUGCUUAACACAUGCAAGUCGAACGGUGAAGCUCCAGCUUGCUGGAGUGGAUCAGUGGCGAACGGGUGAGUAACACGUGAGCAACCUGCCCCAGACUCUGGAAUAAGCGCUGGAAACGGCGUCUAAUACUGGAUACGAGAUCAAGCCGCAUGGUUAUGGUCUGGAAAGUUUUUCGGUUUGGGAUGGGCUCGCGGCCUAUCAGCUUGUUGGUGAGGUAAUGGCUCACCAAGGCGACGACGGGUAGCCGGCCUGAGAGGGCGACCGGCCACACUGGGACUGAGACACGGCCCAGACUCCUACGGGAGGCAGUAGUGGGGAAUAUUGCACAAUGGGCGAAAGCCUGAUGCAGCGACGCCGCGUGAGGGAUGACGGCCUUCGGGUUGUAAACCUCUUUCAGCAGGGAAGAAGCGAAAGUGACGGUACCUGCAGAAGAAGCACCGGCUAACUACGUG
rnacentral:rRNA from 1 species